rnacentral:rRNA from 1 species
UUGUGGAUGGGCAUGCGUCUGAUUAGUUAGUUGGUGAGGUAACGGCUCACCAAGGCAACGAUCAGUAGGGGGGUCUGGAGGAGGAUGAUCCCCCCACACCUGGUACUGAGAUACGGACCAG